CAAUAGCGUAUAUUAAAGUUGUUGCAGUUAAAACGCUCGUAGUCGGAUUUCGGGGCGGGUCCGCCGGUCUGCCGAUGGGUACGCACUGGCGGGCGCGUCCUUCCUUCCGGAGACUGGCCCUACUCUUAGCUGAGCGGGGUCGGGAGUCGGAUCGUUUACUUUGAAAAAAUCAGAGUGUUUCAAGCAGGCAGCUCGCUCUUGCAUGGAUUAGCAUGGGAUAAUGAAAUAGGACUUUGGUGCUAUUUUGUUGGUUUCGAACACCGAAGUAAUGAUUAACAGGGACAGUCAGGGGCACUCGUAUUCCGCCGAGAGAGGUGAAAUUCUCAGACCAGCGGAAGACGAACCACUGCGAAAGCAUUUGCCAGGGAUGUUUNCACUG
rnacentral:rRNA from 1 species